GAUGAAGAACGCAGCGAAAUGCGAUAAUUAAUGUGAAUUGCAGAAUUCAGUGAAUCAUCGAGUCUUUGAACGCACAUUGCGCCCCCUGGUAUUCCGGGGGGCAUGCCUGGCCGAGCGUCAUUGCUGCCCUCAAGCACGGCUUGGGUGUUGGGCUUCCGUCCCUGGCAACGGGGACGGGCCCAAAAGGCAGUGGCGGCACCAUGUCUGGUCCUCGAGCGUAUGGGGCUUUGUCACCCGCUCCCGUAGGUCCAGCUGGCAGCUAGCCUCGCAACCAAUCUUUUUAACCAGGUUGACCUCGGAUCAGGUAGGGAUACCCGCUGAACUUAAGCAUAUCAAUAAGCGGAGGA
rnacentral:misc_RNA from 1 species